CCUUACCAAACUCUACAAAUAAUCUUCUGUCUUAAGAGCACCCAGGAUGUGUUUUCAUUGGAAUUAGCUAGCCCUGGGAAAGACAGUCCCUCCAGAGUUAGCAACACCCCAAGAUGUCAAAGAUAAAAAUGCAAAAAUUAAAACUCCAUGAUUAACACAACUUUGAAGUCCUUCUCACUUGUCUUUAGAUGAAGGGCAACAUCAUUGCAACAAGUCACACUUUGAGAACUCAAGAGAAUAUGUUUGUUCUGAAAAUCCAGGAAUUAUUGCCAACCCAUGGUUGUCUCCAUAUGUCUUGGGAAAAAUAGGAAAAGGAUUUUUUGAGUUGGUGAUUUGAAUCCAAGACACAAAGAUUCAGGCUCUGGUAAAAAGAUUGUAUAGGCUAUAUUGGCUGACAUAAAAGGUAAGAGCAAGAAUGCAGAGGAUUUCUAUCAACAUAAAGAAGAGUCAAAGAUGGAGAAUAAGAGAAGUUAAGUGGUUUUCCUAAGAUCACAUAAUUAAGACUUAUUAAUAAAAAGUUUGAUGCUCUUUCUAUUAUAACAUAGUGUCUCUCCAAAAUAUUUUCUAAUUCUGAAAUUCUGUGAGUAUAAAUCUAAAUAGCACGAAACAAUGGAGAGGCUAUUCAAGACCAUUUAUAGUUCCUAUCACAAAAAAAGAAAGAAUGAGAAGACAGGAGAGAGCAAAGAAUAAAACAAAAACUGAAACAAAAAAUAGAAACAGAAAAGAAUAAAAAAGAAAACAGAGCAUUAAAAAUGCAUUCAGAGAUUAAGAGAGAUUUGUUCACCUUGAUUUUUGCUCAAAAAGGCAGUCACACACCAAUUCAUUUCUUUUUCUUUUUUUUGUAGAGACAUAAAAGGCACACAAUGAAAUCUUAAUAAAUGUAUUGGAUGUUGCAGCAUUAACUGAUGAGCCAGACAAUGUAAAGACCUCAGACUACCAAAUGUUUUGAAAGACGAAUAGUGAAUGUGAAACUGUGAACCAAAAUAGAUUUUUAGAAUCCUUGAAAAAAUAGAGCUAGAGAAAGUCUUUGAGACCAUUGAUUGCAAAUAUUUGAGUUUACAACUGAGCAAAUGGAGAAAAGAGAAGUGACUCGUCAGUCCAACAAGUGGCAGAAUCAGAACCAGACCCCAAUGCUUGGGUCUUCUGUCCCUCCUGGCACCAAAGUCACCUAUCAUAAGUAACUUGAGUUUCAGAGGGGAAGGAAAAGACUACAAUGUCCCAGCACUGUUCCAGACACUUUUUAGGGGACUCCAAGACACCUUGUGUAAUGCCUAUUUUAAGUAGCUGGAAGAUUCUAUAGCAUGGGAAAAGCCCACUGAAGGCAAAAGUAAACAUUACCUAUUGUGGUCCUGGAAAAGAAAAUCAUCUCUCAUUUAUCUCCUGGAGCUGUUUGACGAACUUGUGCCCUGGUUUUACUUUGGGAGCCACCUUUCUCUUUCAGGUGCUGUCUCAGUGGAAUAGUCAACCAAUGUAUCCUACAUUUUGGACCAGCAGAAGGAAGUAAUGAGAACAGAAAACAAAUAAGAAGUGAGUUGGAGGGAGAAGGAGACUUUAGCAUCUUCCUGAAAUCAGGAAGAAAGUUUCAAGAAUAAAGUAAUCCAUAGGGUCAAAUACUGCAGUAAGUUUAAUUAGGAUGAAGACUGCAAAGAUGGUAUUAGUUUGGUACUUAGGACAUUGGUGACCUCCACAGGUGACUUUCAGGAGAAUUAUCUGGGGAACUUGUUGAUAGAAUUUGUGAAUCUCCACCUUUAGGGAUUCUGAUUUAGAAGGAGUAGGAAGAAGGCCUUAGGAUCUCCAUUUAUAACAACCACUACUGAUUAUUUUGAGGCAGGUAGCAUACAGACCACAUUUGAAAGAAACACUAGGUAAGUGUGAUUUUCAUUCAAAGGACAAAAAACAUAAAGUUACCUAAUUCAGGGACCAUUUCAAAGACCAAAUCAAAUCAGUAGCCUGGCUGAUCUGAUCGACUGCGCAGAAACUAGCCAUUACCAUGGCAAAGUGGGGAGGAACAGUCAAUAAAAAGCAAUUGAUGGCCAGGCGCGGUGGCUCACGCCUGUAAUCCCAGCACUUUGGGAGGCCAAGGCGGGCGGAUCACGAGGUCAGGAG
rnacentral:lncRNA from 1 species